UUAUUUCCCUAAAAUUUCAAAACUUGGCCACACACAUAAUUUUUCGGUAAAAAAAAAAACUAAAUUAAAACACACAGGCAAACCACGCAAAUCUUCAAUUUUCUAGGAGAGAGACUGACAGAAAAUAUGAUCGACUUUUUAGGGUUUAAUAAAAAAUUUGGGGCAAAUUCUAGCGAUUUUGUCCGGAAUUCGCAAUUAGGAUCUAGAUUAAUCGAAUUUCUUGGCUCCGACAUUCUCUUAUGUUGCUUGCUUGCUAUUCAUCGAGCAGGAGAAUUGAAUUGGGGUUUCGCAUAAUAAUUCGAACAAGUUAAGAGGAGCUUGACGACUUGCUACCUCUUGAGCCAAUGUCCAAUCAGAAAAUCUCCUGCUUUCAUCAUCACUCAAAACAUUGUAGAUUUCUCUAAGUCUCAUGAACUUCUUUGAUGCUGUUUUAAGUGGGAGUGAAGUUGUAUCUGGGUGGUAUUCUUUUGAUAAUGUUCUAUAAGCUGCUUUUAUCUCUUCUAGAUCAGCAUCUGAUUCUCGCUUGAAUUUUGUUUAUCUCCUAUGAGCACUUUCGAUUCUUAUUGCCCUUUCACGCAAGAGCAGGAGCAUGGUGAGCUAAAUGGAAAAGAAAUUUAGAUCUAACAAUGAGACGGUCGAGGCUCUUGUUUGUUUUAGGCCAUUUUGGGAUUUCUAGUAACGUUGAAUUUGUUUCUAUGGAUUUUAAUUUAUGUACUUUUGUCAUUAAAAACACUAAAUUAAUUAGUGAACACCUAUUUUGUAAUGCAUGUGUCCUAUAUGGGCACUAAUAUAUAUUGUAUUAUUACUCUUUAAGUCAAUGAAUAUCUUUUGUUAUUGGCCUCCA